UUGAAAGGGAAACGAUUGAAGUCAGUCAUGCUGGUGGGAAUCAACUUAGGGGAAACUCUGGGUGCACUUCUUCGCUUGGCAGGUCAACGUCGAUUUUGAAUGUCAUAAAAUAAUUGGGGGAAGGUAGCUCCUUCGGGAGUGUUAUAGCCCUUGAUAGAUGUGAUGUUUGAGGUCGAGGAUUGCAACGGAUACCUUUGGGGCUAGCUGCCUGAUCUCUAAUUGGUGUUGGGUUACGGAUAGCAUGCUGACCGUGAUCUAAUUACUGGUUAAAAGGUUAGAGUGUGCAUAAAUUCGUUAAGGAUGUUGACGUA
rnacentral:rRNA from 1 species